GACGAAGUACGUCCGACUAGUAGUACUACGACGUCUUUUAAAAAAGGGCGGCGUAAGCUGUCGCUAUGGGAUGGCCCCGCGGUGCAUUAGCUAGUUGGUAAGGUAAAGGCUUACCAAGGCAUGAUGCAUAGCCGAGUUGAGAGACUGAUCGGCCACAUUGGGACUGAGACACGGCCCAAACUCCUACGGGAGGCAGCAGUAGGGAAUCUUCCACAAUGGACGCAAGUCUGAUGGAGCAACGCCGCGUGAGUGAAGAAGGUUUUCGGAUCGUAAAGCUCUGUUGUUGGUGAAGAAGGAUAGAGGUAGUAACUGGCCUUUAUUUGACGGUAAUCAACCAGAAAGUCACGGCUAACUACGUGCC
rnacentral:rRNA from 1 species